AGGAAAGCACCGUGAUCGUCCCGAAAAUGUGUACUGUACUGUGAGUAUGACCGUGUGGCAUGGCAGGCGGUAAAGUCUUGUCUAUCCUCACUUUGUGCUUGGCAGUCGUCGUGUAAACAUCUUCGAUUGCUCUCUUGGUGAUAACAACGCAAGCAGUCAUUCACUGUACUCAAACGGAGGUGUUUUGCUAGAGCUGGUUGCGCUAUGGCUUUCUCUGCACUGAUUGGAUUGGCCCUGCUGGCUAUUCUUCAGCCUGCUUACUCAAAGUUUGAACUAAAUCGAAUUCCUUCACGUACAUGCUUUGGACAAACCGUCCUUAGUAUAAAGGUGGCAUAUAUGGUCAAUUGCAUCACUAAAUGCGCGGAUUCCGGGAAGUUAGACAUUAAGUUGGAUAUUACUAAACGUUAUUAUAAUUUGACCAAAUGCCAAGGUAAGUGGUGUUCUGCUAC